rnacentral:rRNA from 1 species
CCUACGGGAGGCAGCAGUAGGGAAUAUUGCUCAAUGGGGGAAACCCUGAAGCAGCAACGCCGCGUGGAGGAUGAGGGUUUUCGGAUUGUAAACUCCUUUUGUUAGAGAAGAUAAUGACGGUAUCUAACGAAUAAGCACCGGCUAACUCCGUGCCAGCAGCCGCGGUAAUACGGAGGGUGCAAGCGUUACUCGGAAUCACUGGGCGUAAAGAGCGCGUAGGCGGGAUAGCAAGUCAGAUGUGAAAUCCUAUGGCUUAACCAUAGAACUGCAUUUGAAACUGUUAUUCUAGAGUAUGGGAGAGGUAGGUGGAAUGCUUGGUGUAGGGGUAAAAUCCGUAGAGAUCAAGAGGAAUACUCAUUGCGAAGGCGACCUGCUAGAACAUAACUGACGCUGAUGCGCGAAAGCGUGGGGAGCGAACAGGAUUAGAUACCCCUGUAGUC